UAAGGAAUAUUGCUCAAUGGGAGAAAUCCUGAAGCAGCAACGCCGCGUGGAGGAUGAAGGGUCUAUGACUUGUAAACUCCUGUAAAGAAGGAAAAAAUUCCCAUUAGAUGGGAGAUGAUGGUACUUCUGGAGUAAGCCCCGGCUAACUACGUGCCAGCAGCCGCGGUAAUACGUAGGGGGCAAGCGUUGUCCGGAUUUACUGGGUGUAAAGGGUGCUCAGGCGGAUUUGUAAGUCAGAGGUGAAAUCUUACAGCUUAACUGUGAAACUGCCUUUGAUACUGCAAGCCUGGAGUAUGGAAGAGAGUGAUGGAAUAUCUGGUGUAGCAGUGAAAUGCGUAGAUAUCAGAUAGAACACCAAUGGCGAAGGCAGUCACUUGGUCCAUUACUGACGCUAAAGCACGAAAGCGUGGGUAGCAAACA
rnacentral:rRNA from 1 species